UAACCUGCCUGGUAGCGGGGGAUAACUAUUGGAAACGAUAGCUAAUACCGCAUAAGAGUAGAUGUUGCAUGACAUUUACUUAAAAGGUGCAAUUGCAUCACUACCAGAUGGACCUGCGUUGUAUUAGCUAGUUGGUGGGGUAACGGCUCACCAAGGCGACGAUACAUAGCCGACCUGAGAGGGUGAUCGGCCACACUGGGACUGAGACACGGCCCAG
rnacentral:rRNA from 1 species